rnacentral:lncRNA from 1 species
UUGGGGCAGCGGAAACGCAGAUGCGCCACAUAGGGGAACUCAAACUGGAAACGUUGGCUGCAUUCCAGGCUUCAAGGUUCUGCUCUUCCUUAUCUCUGGCCGAUUGGACCAACCGCAGCCACAUGAGACCUUCUGAGGAACCAUUUGCUGCUGAGGUGUCUACCUGCGGUUUGAAAUAAAUGAAAGAAGACAAGAAGGAGAGGGGGAGAGGGACCCUCAUGAGGGAAUGAAAUCAGAAGAAUCAAGACCAUUUCUUCUAUGUUAGUCUUUUCCAAAAAUUGUCUGAGACCACGCUUCCAAAAGUUUGGCCCAAGCUGGGACCUGUCCUCAUGUUUGUAACCAUUAGGCAAGAUAACCAUUCUUUGAAACACUGCAUCAAUCAUAUAGUUUAUUUAAGUCACCGUUUUUAUAUAUUGGUUGAAUACUAAAUGAGGAAAUUUCUUCUUAUAAUUUAGUGUUAACCCCUUGAGAGUUUACUUCUAAGUUAUUCCACAUUACAAAGGUAUGGAGAAUUUUGUUUGUUUCAGAAAUAAAGCAAGCUUAGAUCUUAGAAAUUAUGCUAUGGCAAUCAUGUUCCUAAUCUUGGCUAGAACAAUUAAUAGAUUUUCUUUGUAAAGAAGAAUAGGAAAUGAGAGGUCUGAAUCUUCCAAUUCAGACAUAUGGAUUUGAUGAUGCUUUACUGUCAAAACCAUAAACAUUUUUAUUUAAAUACAAACUCUGGGCACUAGCUAAUAUUACCAAAGAAACUAAUCUUUAGGGGAUGAAGAAGCCUCCUCAAAUGGAAGGCAGAUGUACCCAAUACUUGUCAAAGAACUUGCAGAAACUAGUUAGUAUGCAAAUAGCCUCCACCCCAGUGAAAUCUCCCAGAGUUUAGGAAGUCGUGUUCAUCACCAGGAUAAUCCAGAACUGAAGCACUGAUUUAGAUAUUUCUAACAUUCCAAAUCAAAUUUUGUCAUUUAUUCCAAAAAAUCAGUUGACAAUAAUUUGAGUUUAAUUUUCCUUUUCUAAUUUUUGAUGUGUGAAAUGGGAUUGCUUGCAUUAUUGCAUUUUU